rnacentral:rRNA from 1 species
UAGUGGCGGACGGGUGAGUAACGCGUGAGUAACCUGCCUCUAAGAGGGGAAUAACAUUCUGAAAAGAAUGCUAAUACCGCAUAACAUAUAUUUAUCGCAUGGUAGAUAUAUCAAAGAUUCAUCGCUUAGAGAUGGACUCGCGUCCGAUUAGUUAGUUGGUGAGGUAACGGCUCACCAAGACUGCGAUCGGUAGCCGGACUGAGAGGUUGAACGGCCACAUUGGGACUGAGACACGGCCCAGACUCCUACGGGAGGCAGCAGUGGGGGAUAUUGCGCAAUGGGGGAAACCCUGACGCAGCAACGCCGCGUGAAGGAUGAAGGUCUUCGGAUUGUAAACUUCUUUUAUUAAGGACGAAGAAAGUGACGGUACUUAAUGAAUAAGC